UAAAGAGUAAACUAAGUAAGUUUUUUGGUUCAUACCCAAAGUAUAGAGGUGUUAUCUCUCUCUUUUA
rnacentral:tRNA from 1 species